UAUGCUCCGUACAAAGUCAUUGCCAUUAGCUAGUUAGCUUAGCUAGUUGCUAAGCUAGCUAGCUUAGCAAAAUGUUAACUGCUGAGUGGCCCAAGUGAUGUCAGUAUCACCAUCAGACAGUGACGAUCUGUGCGGAUGUUUUUCUUUAACCACAGGAGAAUUUACAUUACAGUGCAGCGACUAUGGAUCCGCCCCAGACCUCAGAGAAGUAUAACAGGAACUCGACCAUCAGGUCUCCAGCUGUCCAUGUCUGUGACCACAAUGGAGCACGAUCGAGCUCUUCUCUGACUUUUGAAACCUAGCCACUAAUCUUCUGGGGAUUGGAUUUUGUCACAACAAAGGAACUGCAGGCAGAUACGAGUGCUGGAUUUUAGAGCAUUGGAUUUCUGAAGAACAGUAUUGGGGGAAAAAACCCUUAAAAUUUGGAUUUUAAGUUCAACUUCAUGGUAAUUUAGCAGGUAAGAUAAAGGGAUCUAAGAUUGUGUAU